rnacentral:rRNA from 1 species
UUAAGCGACUAAGCGUACACGGUGGAUGCCCUGGCAGUCAGAGGCGAUGAAGGACGUGCUAAUCUGCGAUAAGCGUCGGUAAGGUGAUAUGAACCGUUAUAACCGGCGAUUUCCGAAUGGGGAAACCCAGUGUGUUUCGACACACUAUCAUUAACUGAAUCCAUAGGUUAAUGAGGCGAACCGGGGGAACUGAAACAUCUAAGUACCCCGAGGAAAAGAAAUCAACCGAGAUUCCCCAGUAGCGGCGAGCGAACGGGGAGCAGCCCAGAGCCUGAAUCAGUGUGUGUGUUAGUGGAAGCGUCUGGAAAGGCGCGCGAUACAGGGUGACAGCCCCGUACACAAAAAUGCACAUGCUGUGAGCUCGAUGAGUAGGGCGGGACACGUGGUAUCCUGUCUGAAUAUGGGGGGACCAUCCUCCAAGGCUAAAUACUCCUGACUGACCGAUAGUGAACCAGUACCGUGAGGGAAAGGCGAAAAGAACCCCGGCGAGGGGAGUGAAAAAGAACCUGAAACCGUGUACGUACAAGCAGUGGGAGCCUCUUUUAUGGGGUGACUGCGUACCUUUUGUAUAAUGGGUCAGCGACUUAUAUUCUGUAGCAAGGUUAACCGAAUAGGGGAGCCGAAGGGAAACCGAGUCUUAACUGGGCGUUAAGUUGCAGGGUAUAGACCCGAAACCCGGUGAUCUAGCCAUGGGCAGGUUGAAGGUUGGGUAACACUAACUGGAGGACCGAACCGACUAAUGUUGAAAAAUUAGCGGAUGACUUGUGGCUGGGGGUGAAAGGCCAAUCAAACCGGGAGAUAGCUGGUUCUCCCCGAAAGCUAUUUAGGUAGCGCCUCGUGAACUCAUCUCCGGGGGUAGAGCACUGUUUCGGCAAGGGGGUCAUCCCGACUUACCAACCCGAUGCAAACUGCGAAUACCGGAGAAUGUUAUCACGGGAGACACACGGCGGGUGCUAACGUCCGUCGUGAAGAGGGAAACAACCCAGACCGCCAGCUAAGGUCCCAAAGUCAUGGUUAAGUGGGAAACGAUGUGGGAAGGCCCAGACAGCCAGGAUGUUGGCUUAGAAGCAGCCAUCAUUUAAAGAAAGCGUAAUAGCUCACUGGUCGAGUCGGCCUGCGCGGAAGAUGUAACGGGGCUAAACCAUGCACCGAAGCUGCGGCAGCGACACUGUGUGUUGUUGGGUAGGGGAGCGUUCUGUAAGCCUGCGAAGGUGUGCUGUGAGGCAUGCUGGAGGUAUCAGAAGUGCGAAUGCUGACAUAAGUAACGAUAAAGCGGGUGAAAAGCCCGCUCGCCGGAAGACCAAGGGUUCCUGUCCAACGUUAAUCGGGGCAGGGUGAGUCGACCCCUAAGGCGAGGCCGAAAGGCGUAGUCGAUGGGAAACAGGUUAAUAUUCCUGUACUUGGUGUUACUGCGAAGGGGGGACGGAGAAGGCUAUGUUGGCCGGGCGACGGUUGUCCCGGUUUAAGCGUGUAGGCUGGUUUUCCAGGCAAAUCCGGAAAAUCAAGGCUGAGGCGUGAUGACGAGGCACUACGGUGCUGAAGCAACAAAUGCCCUGCUUCCAGGAAAAGCCUCUAAGCAUCAGGUAACAUCAAAUCGUACCCCAAACCGACACAGGUGGUCAGGUAGAGAAUACCAAGGCGCUUGAGAGAACUCGGGUGAAGGAACUAGGCAAAAUGGUGCCGUAACUUCGGGAGAAGGCACGCUGAUAUGUAGGUGAAGUCCCUCGCGGAUGGAGCUGAAAUCAGUCGAAGAUACCAGCUGGCUGCAACUGUUUAUUAAAAACACAGCACUGUGCAAACACGAAAGUGGACGUAUACGGUGUGACGCCUGCCCGGUGCCGGAAGGUUAAUUGAUGGGGUUAGCGCAAGCGAAGCUCUUGAUCGAAGCCCCGGUAAACGGCGGCCGUAACUAUAACGGUCCUAAGGUAGCGAAAUUCCUUGUCGGGUAAGUUCCGACCUGCACGAAUGGCGUAAUGAUGGCCAGGCUGUCUCCACCCGAGACUCAGUGAAAUUGAACUCGCUGUGAAGAUGCAGUGUACCCGCGGCAAGACGGAAAGACCCCGUGAACCUUUACUAUAGCUUGACACUGAACAUUGAGCCUUGAUGUGUAGGAUAGGUGGGAGGCUUAGAAGUGUGGACGCCAGUCUGCAUGGAGCCGACCUUGAAAUACCACCCUUUAAUGUUUGAUGUUCUAACGUUGACCCGUGAUCCGGGUUGCGGACAGUGUCUGGUGGGUAGUUUGACUGGGGCGGUCUCCUCCUAAAGAGUAACGGAGGAGCACGAAGGUUGGCUAAUCCUGGUCGGACAUCAGGAGGUUAGUGCAAUGGCAUAAGCCAGCUUGACUGCGAGCGUGACGGCGCGAGCAGGUGCGAAAGCAGGUCAUAGUGAUCCGGUGGUUCUGAAUGGAAGGGCCAUCGCUCAACGGAUAAAAGGUACUCCGGGGAUAACAGGCUGAUACCGCCCAAGAGUUCAUAUCGACGGCGGUGUUUGGCACCUCGAUGUCGGCUCAUCACAUCCUGGGGCUGAAGUAGGUCCCAAGGGUAUGGCUGUUCGCCAUUUAAAGUGGUACGCGAGCUGGGUUUAGAACGUCGUGAGACAGUUCGGUCCCUAUCUGCCGUGGGCGCUGGAGAACUGAGGGGGGCUGCUCCUAGUACGAGAGGACCGGAGUGGACGCAUCACUGGUGUUCGGGUUGUCAUGCCAAUGGCACUGCCCGGUAGCUAAAUGCGGAAGAGAUAAGUGCUGAAAGCAUCUAAGCACGAAACUUGCCCCGAGAUGAGUUCUCCCUGACUCCUUGAGAGUCCUGAAGGAACGUUGAAGACGACGACGUUGAUAGGCCGGGUGUGUAAGCGCAGCGAUGCGUUGAGCUAACCGGUACUAAUGAACCGUGAGGCUUAACCUU